GUACAUCCGUAUGUAGUUUAUAGUACAAUCUCUAAAAUGUCUUAUAUUUAGAAACGGAGGGAGUAUUUCACAUUCAUAAUAAAUAAUUAGCUAUAAGAUCCAUGAUUUAUCAUUAGAAAACACAAUUAAAUAGACAUUCGGUUUUGUUGUGUACGCAUGGCAGAUGCAUGUCCGCCUUUGCAUGGACUCCUAAUCAAUUUCCCUUUCAUGGAUGCAUGUAUGGCCGUCUUUGCGUGGACGCCCUAGUGGAAUCCUUCAGCGGUGGAACAACGCUGAGGCCGAGGCGGGCCGCACUGAGCAGCCGUGUCUUGCGUCAGCCGAGUUCCUCGCCGCUGAUGUAAGGAUGUUCCCGUUGACGGAUGGAGCAGUAAGACCGGCCAGAAGCCAUGGAUCGAUCUGUAUCCAUCCACCAUGACCACGGUGCACUCGAUUCUGUAGCAAACGCUGCCGAUGUUCUGUCGUCUUGAAUGAUCUUUUUCUAGAGCGAAGUAUUGAUAACGUGUUUGAAGUAAAAAAUAAAGAAACGAAAGAGAUAAAUGAAAG
rnacentral:lncRNA from 1 species